ACCAAAUUCUCAACGAUGGAUAUCUUGGUUCCCAUAACGAUGAAGAACGCAGCGAAGUGCGAUAAGCAAUGCGAAUUGCAGAACCGUGAGUCAUCAGAUUUUUGAACGCAACUGGCGCCAGUUGGCUCUCCAGCUGGCAUGCUUGUUUCAGU
rnacentral:rRNA from 1 species